rnacentral:snRNA from 1 species
AUUGUUUUCAGUCUUUUGGCUAAGAUCAAGUGUCCUAUCUAUUCUUAUCAGUUCAAUAUCUGAUAUGUACUCUACCAGAGGAUAAUAUAUUACAUGGAUUUUGGAGGAGGAUUUGCUUCAACCACGACACUCAUCCACCUGGUAUUACAAUGGAUCCAGCAAUGGGAAACCUUUC